ensembl:lncRNA
CGAGGGAGGUUGUCCUCUGGACUCCUGGGAAUUGACCACCAGCAUGCGCUGCUCCGCUGACAAGGGAAAGGGCCCUCUGGCCCGCACAGCAUGGAUAUGGGCAGAACGGUUUUUCCUAACUAGGCCUUCUGGGUUGCAGCAGAACAGCAUGUGUCUGCUUCUCAAAUGUAACAGAUUGUCUCUGGAAACUGCGAAAUCUGACCAGAAGGCCCUUAGCCUCCCAGGCUCUGUAGCUUCUGCAGUGAUGAGGCCUGGCCACCAGAUGGCUCCACAGAGGCCACUGCUCUCUCAGGGAAGAGGAGGCUGGGAAGAUCCAGGGGAGGACAUGGAAUUGGAUUCUCACCUGGGGAAGCUGUGGAGGCUGGCCUCGAACUCUGGACCCUUGCCCCCUUGGAAGGGGUUCUUGUGUGAUUUGGGAAGGACAAAGAACAACUUUCAUCAACAGGGCAGAAAGUACAUGGUGGGCAUUCCUGGCAGGCACUGGAGAAUGUGAUGCUAGCCCUGGGUCCGGGGCAGGCAUCAUUGAGCCAUGGACCUCUGUUUCUAAUUACAGCAUGAAUGUGGGCAGCUGGACCCAAAUAUUUUGCAGGAUCCUAGUAAAAGGUUGCUAACCAGUUCCUCUCAUGGUGAUCGGCUGGGACUUGGAGGUGGGGGAGAUGGAUUCACAGGUUGGAAGGGAAGUCAGGGAGGAGGGGCAAGGACUUCUCAAAAAGCAGUGAUGGGUGAUGUGAUAUGAAAGCAAAGAGGAACAGAGCCCCUGCUUUGGGAGGCAGACAGGCCUGAGUUUGAAUCUAGGCUGGUGACUUCCUGGCUGUGUAACCUUGGGCGAGUCACUUAGCCUUAUUGCUUCUCAGAGUCUUAGCUUCUCAACUCCAAAAUACAGACAUCUUUCUUGCAAGGAUAUCAUGAAGACCAUAGUGUGUGGGCUUCCCUGGUGGCUCAGAUGGUAAAGAAUCUGCCUGCAGUGUGGGAGACUUGGGUUCCAUCCCCGUGUCAGGAAGAUCCCCUGGAGAAGCGAAUGGCAACCCACUCCAGUAUUCUGGCCUGGAGAAUUCCACAGACAGAGGGGCCUGGCAGGCUACAGUCCAUGGGAUUGCAAAGAGUCGGACAUGACUGAGCAACUAACACACACAUAGUGUGUAUAGCAUUUAGCACAGAGCCUUUACAUGGCAGGUGGAAAGAAAGAAACUCUUUAUGUCCCAGGGUAAGAAUGAAAGCUUGGAAUUCUGUUAAUUUUAUAAUUUUGAAAAUUAGUUUCUUUCUGUAAAGCAAUAUAUGAUCAUGGUCAAAAUAUUAGUAUAUAGAGAUAAAAAGAAGCCACCAGUACUCCCUUCUUCAAUUAUUAUUGUUAUUAUUUAUUACCAGUAAGUGUUAGUGGUGAGAUUUAAGGCGUCAGAGGGGGCUGAUGGCCUAAAUAAUCUCAGUGUAUCUCAUAUUAUUCUGCUUAGGUUGAAUGUGUAAGCUAAUGCCUUCCCCCAAAGGAAGGUAGUCUGCAGGGCAGCUGACCCUUGCGUUGAUGAUGUUGGAAGCUGCCGCUUCCCUGGGAGCACACCAGCCUCAGCCUGAAGGUAUGCCCUGCCCAGGCCCUCCUGGCAGCAUGUCAGUGAGAUAUGACUGAAAAGGUCGAAAAAGUAAAGGUUUGGAGCCCCGCAGACCUGGAUUCCAACCUGGCUUUGGCUCUAAGAUGUUUUAUAAAAUUUUUUUUAAAUCCUUUUGAAGAAAUGGUACAAAGGAUUGUAAUACAUUUAGAAAAGUCUAAGGAGAAAACUAUAAACUCUACCACCCAGAGGAGGCCAUGGUGGCCAUCCUCUGGGAGCAUCCUUCCUGUUCUAAGUGUGGGUUUAUUUGAUUUCGGAGAAGGCAAUGGCACCCCACUCCAGUACUCUUGCCUGGAAAGUUCCAUGGACGGAGGAGCCUGGUAGGCUGCAGUCCAUGGGGUCAUGAGAGUCGGACACGACUGAAGCGACUUAGCAGCAGCA